GCCACUGUGGUGUAGUGGUUUAGUAUUGGGCUGUGACUCUGGAGGGCAGGGUUCGAUCCCCUGCUCAGUCA